rnacentral:rRNA from 1 species
CGAGGGCCACGAGGAACACCGCGCCGGCUCGUACCCAUAUCCGCAGCAGGUCUCCAAGGUGAAUAGCCUCUAGUCGAUAGAAUAAUGUAGGUAAGGGAAGUCGGCAAACCCGAUCUGUAACUUCGGGAUAAGGAUUGGCUCUGAGGAUCGUGGCGCGCCGGGCUUGGUCGGGAAGUGGAGCGGUGCCAACGUGCCGGGCCUGGGCGAGGUGAAAGGCGCUCGCCGUCUGGACCCUAGCUCGGUCCCGUGCCUUGGCCACCCACGGACCUUCCUUGCUGCGAGCCUCCCGGCUGUCUAGUUU